AGCAGCCGCGGUAAUUCCAGCUCCAAUAGCGUAUAUUAAAGUUGCUGCAGUUAAAAAGCUCGUAGUUGAAUUUCGGGACCAUCAUGUCGGUCGUGCCUAGGUACGUACUGGCAUUGUUGGUUUCUACCUUCUGACGAACCAUGAUGUCAUUUAUUUGGUGUCGUGGGAAAUCAGGACUGUUACUUUGAAAAAUUAGAGUGUUUAAAGCAGGCUCACGCUUGAAUACAUUAGCAUGGAAUAAUGAAAUAGGACGUUUGAUUCUAUUUUGUUGGUUUCUAGGAUCGACGUAAUGAUUAAUAGGGAUAGUUGGGGGCAUUAGUAUUCAAUUGUCAGAGGUGAAAUUCUUGGAUUUAUUGAAGACUAACUACUGCGAAAGCAUUUGCCAAGGAUGUUUUCAUUAAUCAAGAACGAAAGUUAGGGGAUCGAAGACGAUCAGAUACCGUCGUAGUCUUAACCAAUAAACUAUGCCG
rnacentral:rRNA from 1 species